rnacentral:rRNA from 1 species
UAUUAACUCUAGCGGGAGGCCUAACACAUGCAAGCCGAGCGGUAGAGUCUCUUCGGAGACUUGAGAGCGGCGCACGGGUGCGGAACACGUGUGCAACCUGCCUUUAUCUGGGGGAUAGCCUUUCGAAGGGAAGAUUAAUACCCCAUAAUAUACUGGAUGGCAUCAUCUGGUAUUGAAAACUCCGGUGGAUAGAGAUGGGCACGCGCAAGAUUAGAUAGUUGGUGAGGUAACGGCUCACCAAGUCAGCGAUCUUUAGGGGGCCUGAGAGGGUGAUCCCCCACACUGGUACUGAGACACGGACCAGACUCCUACGGGAGGCAGCAGUGAGGAAUAUUGGACAAUGGGUGAGAGCCUGAUCCAGCCAUCCCGCGUGAAGGACGACGGCCCUAUGGGUUGUAAACUUCUUUUGUAUAGGGAUAAACCUAGAUACGUGUAUCUAGCUGAAGGUACUAUACGAAUAAGCACCGGCUAACUCCGUG